rnacentral:rRNA from 1 species
GUGUCAGCAGCCGCGGUAACACGUAGGCACCAAGCGUUGUCCGGAUUUAUUGGGCGUAAAGAGCUCGUAGGCGGUUCAGUAAGUCAGGUGUGAAAUCUUUGGGCUUAACCCAAAGCGUGCAUUUGAUACUGCUGUGACUUGAGUUCGGUAGGGGAGUGGGGAAUUCCUAGUGUAGCGGUGAAAUGCGCAGAUAUUAGGAGGAACACCGGUGGCGAAGGCGCCACUCUGGGCCGAAACUGACGCUGAGGAGCGAAAGCGUGGGUAGCAAACAGGAUUAGAUACCCCCGUAGUCC